AAUCAACGCUGGCGGCGUGCCUCAGACAUGCAAGUCGAACGCGAAAUCCCGAGCAAUCGGGAAAGUAGAGUGGGCGCACGGGUGAGUAACACGUAGGUAAUCUACCGUUCGGAUGGGGGAAUAACAAUCGGAAACGGUUGCUAAUACCGCAUAAUGCAGCGGCACCUAAUGGUGACAGUUGUUAAAGCGGGGGAUCGCAAGACCUCGCGUCUGAAGAGGAGCCUGCGGCGGAUUAGCUUGUUGGUAAGGUAACGGCUUACCAAGGCGACGAUCCGUAGCCGGCCUGAGAGGGCGGUCGGCC
rnacentral:rRNA from 1 species